CGUUUUCCUGAACUCCUAACCUCAGUCAACACUGCCUCGGGACCUGGCGCUGCCUGGGAGAUCCAGAAGAAAGGAAGCAUCUUGGCCCCUGCCUUGGGGGCGACACGACCGUCCCCAAACACAGCGAGUCACUGGCCUGGGUCUUUUGUGCAGAGGCCCCUCUAGGAGCGGGGAACCAACGAUGGCACGAACAUUGAUUUGAGGAGGAUGCUUCGCAGUUUACGAAACAAUGAGCGCUAGAGGCGUUCAGAAACGGGAAAGAUCACUUUGUGCUCCUGUGAUCUGAAGGCUGCGUGAAAAAGAUGAGGCUUGGAAAAUGGGACUUACCACAUUAUAGGACAGACCACAGUGCAUGUCUGUCUGCUCCAACAGAAGUGGCUUUCUUGAGGGAAGGAAUUCUGCCUUGUUCAACUUUAUAUUCCCCCACAGUGCCUUGCAGAAAGUAGGAGCCCAGUAAAUGUGUACUGAAUUGCUCAGAAUUGUGUGGUGAGGUAGAAAGUAUUGCUUAAUCUCUCCGAGACCUCAAUUUCCUUAUUUGUAAAUUAAACUGCUGAUUAAUUUCUAAAGAUCUUUUGAGUUACAGAAUUCUGUUACCCAACAUCGUUUCAGAGAUUGAGAAGACUAAAUUAUUUGAUUUCUAAAUUCCUUUUCAACUUCAAUAUUAAAUGAUUUUAUA
rnacentral:lncRNA from 1 species